AGCAUGCUGGGCUGAACCUCUACCACCGACCAUGUGACCGUAGUGCCUGUCCAUCAUGCUUUGCAGUCUGUUACCUAAGGGUUGACAUUGAUUAUAUCUGUGUGCAAACCUUCACACGCUAGACUCAGAGACAGCCAAGAGUUAUGGCCAUGUCUGUCAACCCGAUAACCGGAGCCCAUGGGUGUCUCUGACACCAGAGACAGCUGACUCUUCAGUCACCAGAGAAGACACACACAGUUCUUUUCCCAAAGUGAAGGCCAACCAGAGGCCCUGGGUCCAGCUGAUAGGAGAGCGCAGUCAGCCAGGCACUCUCAGGGAUGCGCUGGGAGUGGUGGCCCCAUGGGCAUGGUCCAGAGCAGGACAGAGUGGACAGCUUUUGGUACAAGUUUGAUGUUAGGUCCAAAUGCAAAACCAGUCACCUUUAGAAGGUAAUUUGAUGAUGUCAGUCCACAAUGGGGUUAGGGUGGGGGGAAGCACCCAGAACAUUUCUCUGCUCAGAGUUGAGGAUGGAAGCAUCAGGCUUUGGAGUUUUUGCACUCGGGGUCUCAGCAGAGUCCCCUGAAGUGCAUGAUCCACACCUAUCCUGACUGUCCCCACCACACACCAAGGACAGGGAGUAAAUAAAGAGCUUUGCUG
rnacentral:lncRNA from 1 species